GAUUUGUUUGAAAAUUUCCUUUAAAAAUGAAAAAAAAUUUUCUGGGUAUUGUGGCACAAGCCUGUAUUCCCAGACUCUUGGGAGGCUGAAGCAAAUUUUAGACCAGCCUUGGCAACUUAGCAAAACCCUGUCUUAAAAUAAAAAAUUAAAAAAAUUAGAGAUGUACCUCUGUGGUAAAGCACCCCUGGGUUCAAUCCUCAGUACCCACCCACCACCAAUAAAUAAAUAAUAUUUUAAAAAUAAAAAAAAAUCAUUUGCUAUAUAGUUUACAGAAACCAUCUAUUGACAGCUAAAUAUUAUUGAGAGAAAUCAAGAAGUACAUAAACAAGACGAACACAUUCAUGAACUGGAAAACUCAUUUUUAGGAGUCAGUUAUCCCUAAUCUGAACUAUAAAUUCAAUGCAACUCAAUAAAAAUCCCCUACAUGCUAUGUGUGACAAUUAACAAGACCAAAAUGUUUAUGGAAAUGCCAGACCUAUUAAAAAAGAUCAAAGUUGGAAGUCUUAUAGGAGUAAAUAUCAAGACACUACAAAGCUACAUUAUUGAAGACAGGGAGGUUUUGGUAAAAAGAUAAAGACCAAUCUAAGAAAAAAAAAAGUCCUGAAAUAGAUCCACACAUAUACAUUUACCAGAUUUAUGACAGUGUCACCAAUGUAACUCAAUGAGAAAAUGCUGAUCUUUUCAAUAGAUAGUGC
rnacentral:lncRNA from 1 species